rnacentral:tRNA from 1 species
GCAUGGGAUGGAUUAUGGCCGUUCCAUGCAUUGGACGCAUGAGGCGACGCGGUCCUACGUUCGAGACAUGCCUCCUGCC